CCUGGUUGAUCCUGCCAAUAAUCAUAUGCUUGUCUCAAAGAUUAAGCCAUGCAUGUAUAAGUAUGAACUAAUUCAGACUAUGAAACUACGAAUGGCUCAUUAAAUCAGUUAUAGUUUGUUUAAUGGUAUCUACUACUCGGAUAACCUUAGUAAUUCUAGAGCUAAUAUGUGCAACAAACCCCAACUUCUAAAAGGGAUGUAUUUAUUAUAUAAAAGGUUGACGCGGGCUAUGCCCGUUGCUUUAAUGAUUCAUGAUAACUUGACGGAUCGCAUGGCCUUUGUGCCAGCGACACAUCAUUCUAAUCUUUGCGCUAUCAACUUUCGAUGGUAGGAUAGUGGCCUACUAUGGUGGUGAUGGGUGACAGAGAAUUAGGGUUUGAUUCCAGAGAGGGAGGCUGAGAAACGGCUACCACAUCCAAGGAAGGCAACAGGCACGUAAAUUACCCAAUCCUGACAGGGAGAGGUAGUGAGAAUAAAUAACAAUACCGGGCUCUAUGAGUCUGGUAAUUAGAAUGAGUACAAUCUAAAUCCCUUAACGAGGAUCCAUUAAAGGGCAAGUCUAGUGCCAGCAGCCAUGGUAAUUUUUGCUCCAAUAGCGUAUAUUUAAGUUGUUGCGGUUAAAAAGCUCAUAGUUGGAACUAGGGUUGGGUCGUCGAUCCGUCUCACGGAGAGCACCGAUCUACUUGUCCCUACUAUCGAUGAUGUGCUCAUGGACUUAAUUGCCUGAGUCAUUCCUCCACCGGUUUUACUUUGAAGAAAUUAGAGUGCUCAAAUCAAGCCUACGCUUGUAUACAUUAGCAUGGGAUAACAUCAUAGGAUUUUAGUCCUAUUGUGUUGGCCUUCGGGAUCGGAGUAAUGAUUGACAAGGACAGUCGAGGGCAUUCGUAUUUCAUAGUCAGAGGUGAAAUUCUUGGAUUUAUGAAAGACAAACAAUAGUGAAAACAUUUGCCAAGGAUGUUUUCAUUAAUCAAGAACGAAAGUUGAGGGCUCGAAGAUGAUAAGAUACAGUCUUAGUCUUAACCAUAAACGAUGUCGACCAAGGAUCGAUGGGUGUUACUUUUAGGUCUCUGCUGGCACCUUAUGAGAAAUCAAAGUCUUUGGGUUUCAAAGGGAGUAUGGUCUCAAGGCUGAAACUUAAAGCAAUUGAUGGAAGGGCACCACUAGGAGUUGAGCCUGUGGCUUAAUUUGACUCAACAUGGGGAAAAUUACCAGGUCCAGACAUAGUAAGGAUUGAUAGACUGGGAGCUCUUUCUUGAUUCUAUAGGUGAUGGUGCAUGGCCGUUCUUAGUUGGUGGAGUGAUUUGUCUAGUUAAUUCCAUUAAUGAACAAGACCUCAGCCUACUAACUAGCUACGCGGAGGUGAUCCUUCAUGGCUAGCUUCUUAGAGGGACUAUGGCCGCUUAGGCCAAGAAAGUUUGAGGCAAUAACAAGUUUGUGAUGCCCUUAUAUGUUCUGGACCGCACGCGCGCUACACUGAUGCAUUCAACGAGUCUAUAGCCUUGGCCGACAAGCCCGGGUAAUCUUUGAAAUUUCAUGAUGAUAGGGAUAGAUCAUUGCACUUGUUGGUCUUCAAUGAGGAAUUCCUAGUAAGUGCGAGUCAUCAGCUCACGUUGACUACAUCCCUGCCCUUUGUACAUACCUCCUGUCCCUCUUACCGAUUGAAUGGUCCUGGUGAAGUGUUUGGAUCACGGUGAUGUGGACGGUUCACUGCCUGUGAUGUCACGAGAAGUCCACUGAACCUUAUCAUUUUAAAAAAAAGAGAAGUCAUAACAAGGUUUUCGUAGGUGAACCUACAGAAG
rnacentral:rRNA from 1 species